UCUCUAACUUACACACAUCCACUUGACUUUAUCUCUUCUGCUCUUUAUUUCUCCCUCUGGUUAUCACAUCAAGUCUUCUCUUGCACUCACACCUUAAUACCAUUGGCACACAUACUGUAACUUCACAUCAUAGACACACCACGCCCUCUUUUUAAACAGUCCCUCUAGCUAAUAUGAGGGGAUAUUCUUUAAAGCUUUACUUAUCAACAUGCUAAAGUCCAAAGUAACUGUGUGGUAACAAGUAAAACUGGGCAGGGUCACUGGCUCUCUGAGCCUUUUGCAUUUCACACCCUUGGCCUUUUGCAUGGCUCUCCUACACCCUACUUUAAUUGAAUCCUAUUAACAAAGCUUUUUUUCCCCUCAAAACUUAAGAACUAAAUUGUAGUAGAUUAUUUUAUGUCAGACUACAAGAUAAAAACAAGCAAAGAAGACUCUUAUGGAACUCCAGUAUCAAUCUCUCAUCAUAUAGCUGUGGGCUGCUGGUGUUUUUCUUUUCUUAAUGUCAAAGUUUUCUCCUCCAGUUGUUUGUCUUGUCCCAGCCACAUUCCUGCAGUUGUAAAUGGACAGCUAGGUUAUUAAAAAUCGGUAGACCACGACAACUCUGCUCACAGGGCCCAAGAAAAGAAUGUCACAGUUGGAAAAUUAAAAGUAAAAAAACACUUAGUUACAAGGGUAGUAUCUAUGUUUUAAAAACAGGAUUAUAAUUAUUAUGAAGGUUUAUCUUAAGGUUUUCAGGUGAAAGUAGGCAUCAAAAGUUAUACAUUCAUUACCAAUUCAGAUUCUGAUUUGUUCUAAAUGUAUUUUCCCAUUGUUUUAAUCAAGUAAUAUCCAGCAUGUUUUCAUAUGUUUUCAGUUUUUUAAGGUACUAACUUCCCCUCAGCAUGCCUUAGACUUACACUAAAGGAAGUGAGUCCUUACACUUUUUUAUACAAUGUAAACAGUCAGAGGAAUAGCAUAGUCAGAGCACGAGUUAUUUUACGCAACAAAAGGUUUUGUAUCUGCAUUGUAACAUUAACAUGGUUAUUGACACUACUGCUUGUGUAA